CUAAGGUGUAGGUUAAGCUGUUCUAACAAAGAGACCCCAAAGUACAGUGACCUAGAUAAAACCACGCUAACAUUUUGGGAAAAAACACUGGGAACUUCUGGUCCUGUUGCCUGUGUUAACUAGGCCAAGAGGCCCAUGAAUGGUCAGCAUGGCUUCAUUCAAAUAACAUACUUAUUACUUAUGUGUAUUGAGUGUUUAAUAUAAAGGAAGUGCUUUGCAAAUUAGCUCAUUGGAUCUGUCAACAUUUGUAAGAGGUUGUUAAACCAUUUCACAAAGGAGAAAGGAAUCAGCGACCUUCAUGGAUGUGGUUGUGGGCUUCACCCAGGAAGAAUAGGCCUUGGUGGGUGCAUCCCAGCAAAAGCCGUACAGAGAUGUGAUGCUGGAGAACAUCAUCCAUCUUCUCUCUAUUGUUGAGUCUGUCCAUAAGGACUUAUUUACUCAACAGGUAUCCAGAGAAGUUUCCACAUAUCAUGCUCCCCUCUCAGCUCUCAUUUUUAUUCUUUCAUAACGCAACUACGAGAAGGCAGGAGAAGUAACCUUUAAAACCAAUAAAUGGUACCUAUACCAGAUAUCUGCAGGAAGGAUCCAUCUAACUGCACAGUGAUGGUUCACAGUGAUUUAACAUAUGUGAAGUCACGUGGGCCCAGGAGGCCCAACUCCAUAAGCUGUUGGACCAACUGAGGCAGCAAAGCCAUGAGGAAACACUGAAGUUUCACCUGGAAAAUACCCAAUAUAUUCUCCAAAACAUGAAAUACUGGAUCAUUGGGAUUCCACCCUGCCUCGGUCUCUGGCACAGCCUGUCCACCAGGCCUGCAGAUGUCCAAUCCUGGGUCAUCUUCCUUCCCUGCUUGUUCUCUGGCUUCGAAUGGAACGGAUGAAUUUGCCUCAGGCAUGCUAACCUUCUCCUGCAGAAGCCCACAAUUCAUAUGGGAUGAGAAUUCAUAUGGAGAGAGGAUAAUAAUAUUGUUAAUAAAGUUAUUUUUAUUAUUAAUAGCUAACAA
rnacentral:lncRNA from 1 species